GACGAACGCGGGCGGCGUGCUUAACACAUGCAAGUCGAACGGAAAGGCCCUGCUUGCAGGGUGCUCGAGUGGCGAACGGGUGAGUAACACGUGGGUGAUCUGCCCCUUACUUUGGGAUAAGCCUGGGAAACUGGGUCUAAUACUGGAUAGGACCAUGCUGUAGGUGGUGUGGUGGAAAGAUUAGUUUCGGUAAGGGAUGAGCUCGCGGCCUAUCAGCUUGUUGGUGGGGUAAUGGCCUACCAAGGCGUCGACGGGUAGCCGGCCUGAGAGGGUGGACGGCCACAUUGGGACUGAGAUACGGCCCAGACUCCUACGGGAGGCAGCAGUGGGGAAUAUUGCACAAUGGGCGCAAGCCUGAUGCAGCGACGCCGCGUGGGGGAUGACGGCCUUCGGGUUGUAAACUCCUUUCAGCCAUGACGAAGCCCUUGUGGUGACGGUAGUGGUAGAAGAAGCACCGGCUAACUACGUG
rnacentral:rRNA from 1 species